GCGUAGUUGUCUUAGCAAAGGAAGAGACGGGACAGAACUAUACUUUAGAGUGUUUCUGAGUAAACUAAGUAAAGAAAAAAAAACUUUUUAAUGAUUUUUCUAGUUUUGUUAAUCUGGGUAACUUGAUUCACAGAUAUUUAAAGUUACAUUUGGCUACAUUGUAUUAGAUUGUACAAUGAAACUAAGCAAGACAAACCUGAUCUCGCUCUUCACACUGAUUCUGGUAUUUCACACCAUAGCUGUACAAGCAGAAGGUAAUGUACCUGCUCGUUACGUUUAACCAAAAAUGUCAAAUUAAUAGUGUACCUGUAGCUCAUGAUUGUUUUCAUUUACUCAUCAUGAUGUCUUUCCAAACUUGGAAUGAUUUUCCUUCUUCUGAAUCAGUAUUUUGGUCUCAUUAUAAAUCUUGAAAAAACCUUACACAAGAUCAAAUCAUUUUAGAAGCAACAAUUGAUCUAUCUGUAAGCCCCUCCCCUUGAACGCAGAUGAGCCAAUGGCAGUCGAGUAUCAAUUGCACUUGGAGUGCAAAUUAAACAUCGUUAAGUUUCAGUGCUAUAGAGAAACAUUGGAAGAUCUGAAGCUCUCAUUGAUUUGGUGUUUAUGCUACAAAAAUGGUAAAAUGAUGUGCCUGGGGCACUUGUAACACUGAUUCCAGUUAUCCCAAGCGGAUAGGCAACAGAAUUUUGAAUUUAUAUUAUUAUUCAAUGCUCAUUUUCUAGUUGUCAUUCUCUCAUUAAGUUACAAUUUUCAUCUGCUCAAGCAGAAUGUUAAUGUCAUCUUGUGUAUCCGCAAGGUAUCUCUGGCUAAAACUAGCUAAAGUUAAAGUUAAUGAGUCCAUGCUAAUGUACAAACCUAAAUAGUGAGCUGUAUACAUUCCAUAUAUAUCAUUCCUAUCCCAUUUUCUGUCUUUGCAUGAUAGUUUCACUUUCCUUUUCAGCUUCUCAUGAUGAUGAUGAUGAUAAUGAUGAGGCUCUGAGGAUCCUGGUUGUGGGAGUCAGAGGUCAGUCCAGAUUCAGUGCUGCAGAUCUUCUGUCAGGAAGGAAAGACGGAGGACAGGAGGACAGAGAGAUUGUAAAGACUCCAGUAAUUACAGACGGGGCUCGUAGAAUGAUGCUGGUCACUGGACCAAACCUCUGUGAGGAGGACACAGAGAGACAGACCUUCACAACAGCGCUGUUUCUCUCGUCUCCUGGACCUCACGCCGUUCUAAUGGUCCUGAAUCUGGAAGAUCAACAAUCACAACAGUGUGAUAUUGAGAAACGAGCCCAGGAGCUGCUGGGAGCAGAAGUCCUGCAGUACUGCAUUGUUCUUCUGCUCCAAAAUCACCAGGAACCUUUGACAGGAGCCUCCAGAGGGAUUGCUGGAGAAAUGAUCAACGCAUGUGGAGGAAGAUUUCACAUCAUAAGAGACUCUGAACCAAAACCUGCUCAAAGAACAACUCUUAUAGCAGAAAUACACAAGUUAGUUUGGUUCAAUGAUCACAGAUUUCACUCAGUAUUGAGACAACUGUUAGAAGCUGAAAAACUGGAGCUUUUACAAAGGCUAAAAGAAAUAGAUGGCAAACUUGGAAAAAGUAAGGUCUCAUCUGCAAUGUGUGACAGUUUAGGUGUGGUCGGAUGGAGUCUGAUAAUUUCACUGAUUGCUCUUGUUUAUCAUUUGAGUUAA
ensembl:lncRNA